GUAACAAGGUUUCCGUAGGUGAACCUGCGGAAGGAUCAUUAAUUAUGUUAAAGCGCCUUACCUUAGGGUUUCCUCUGGGGUAAGUGAUUGCUUCUACACUGUGAAAAUUUGGCUGAGAGACUCAGACUGGUCAUGGGUAGACCUAUCUGGGGUUUGAUCGAUGCCACUCCUGGUUUCAGGAGUACCCUUCAUAAUAAACCUAGAAAUUCAGUAUUAUAAAGUUUAAUAAAAAACAACUUUUAACAAUGGAUCUCUUGGUUCUCGCAUCGAUGAAGAACGUAGCAAAGUGCGAUAACUAGUGUGAAUUGCAUAUUCAGUGAAUCAUCGAGUCUUUGAACGCAGCUUGCACUCUAUGGUUUUUCUAUAGAGUACGCCUGCUUCAGUAUCAUCACAAACCCACACAUAACAUUUGUUUAUGUGGUGAUGGGUCGCAUCGCUGUUUUAUUACAGUGAGCACCUAAAAUGUGUGUGAUUUUCUGUCUGGCUUGCUAGGCAGGAAUAUUACGCUGGUCUCAGGAUCUUUUUUUUUGGUUCGCCCAGGAAGUAAAGUACAAGAGUAUAAUCCAGUAACUUUCAAACUAUGAUCUGAAGUCAGGUGGGAUUACCCGCUGAACUUAAGCAUAUCAAUAAGCGGAGGAAAAGAAAAUAACAAUGAUUUCCCUAGUAACGGCGAGUGA
rnacentral:misc_RNA from 1 species